GGUGAGGUGGCCGAGAGGCUGAAGGCGCUCCCCUGCUAAGGGAGUAUACGGUUUAUCCCGUAUUCGAGGGUUACGAACUCCCAUCCUUCACCGCCA
rnacentral:tRNA from 1 species